rnacentral:rRNA from 1 species
AAUGGGCGGGAGCCUGAACCAGCCAAGUCGCGUGAGGGAAGAAGGAUCUAUGGUUCGUAAACUUCUUUUGCAGGGGAAUAAAGUGCAGGACGUGUCCUGUUUUGUAUGUACCCUGAGAAUAAGGAUCGGCUAACUCCGUGCCAGCAGCCGCGGUAAUACGGAGGAUCCGAGCGUUAUCCGGAUUUAUUGGGUUUAAAGGGUGCGUAGGUGGUUUGAUAAGUCAGCGGUUAAAGUUUGCAGGUUAACUGUAAAAAUGCCGUUGAAACUGUCGGACUUGAGUGUAAAUGAGGUAGGCGGAUGCGUGGUGUAGCGGUGAAAUGCAUAGAUAUCACACAGAACCCCGAUUGCGAAGGCAGCUUACCGGGCUACAUCUGACGCUGAUGCACGAAAGCGUGGGGAUCAAA